CCUACGGGUGACAGCAGUGAGGAAUAUUGGUCAAUGGUCGGGAGACUGAACCAGCCAAGCCGCGUGAGGGAUGAAGGUACAGAGUAUCGUAAACCUCUUUUGUCAGGGAACAAAGGCGGGGACGUGUCCCCGGCUGAGUGUACCUGAAGAAAAAGCAUCGGCUAACUCCGUGCCAGCAGCCGCGGUAAUACGGAGGAUGCGAGCGUUAUCCGGAUUUAUUGGGUUUAAAGGGUGCGCAGGCGGUCUGUUAAGUCAGCGGUCAAAGCCCGGGGCUCAACCCCGGCCCGCCGUUGAAACUGGCAGUCUCGAGUUGGAGAGAAGUAUGCGGAAUGCGCGGUGUAGCGGUGAAAUGCAUAGAUAUCGCGCAGAACUCCGAUUGCGAAGGCAGCAUGCCGGCUCCACACUGACGCUGAGGCACGAAAGCGUGGGUAUCGAACAGGAUUAGAUACCCCGGUAGUC
rnacentral:rRNA from 1 species